UACCAGGGAUUCCCUUGCAUGAGUACAAGGUCCCUUUUAGCUUGAUCUAGGCUUAAUACUCUAUUAUAGCAUGAAAUCCCUUAUUUUCCACCCGGAUGAACAGUAAUCUGGACCGACAGCCGGUUACUUCAUCCCGGAUUUGAUCCACUUUUCAGACUCUAAAUUUGAUGAAAUUUUUACCUAACAUUCUACACUCAUAGAGAAUUCCAAAGAGGUAACAUGCAUUGCUAUCGGAGGUCGUUUGACCCCCUAAAUAAUUCGCCGAAUUUGGAACUUCGACACAGUUUUUCCGUAGUGCCGGAAAAAUUUGUCAAAAUCCGAUUCUUCCUCUUUUAACCGCCUCUACAACCCUUAUCCGACCCCUCUAGACUAUAUCCACCCUUUGUAUAGCCUAAUGUCAUCAAAAGACUAGAUAGGGACGGAUAUUUACCUUUUUCUUUUUGAAAAUCUAGGUCCUUGCGUAGAGGGGAAGGAGAUCUACGUUUUUUCCUUCAGCUGACAACGC
rnacentral:lncRNA from 1 species